rnacentral:rRNA from 1 species
UUAAGCGACUAAGCGUACACGGUGGAUGCCCUGGCAGUCAGAGGCGAUGAAGGACGUGCUAAUCUGCGAUAAGCGUCGGUAAGGUGAUAUGAACCGUUAUAACCGGCGAUUUCCGAAUGGGGAAACCCAGUGUGUUUCGACACACUAUCAUUAACUGAAUCCAUAGGUUAAUGAGGCGAACCGGGGGAACUGAAACAUCUAAGUACCCCGAGGAAAAGAAAUCAACCGAGAUUCCCCCAGUAGCGGCGAGCGAACGGGGAGCAGCCCAGAGCCUGAAUCAGUGUGUGUGUUAGUGGAAGCGUCUGGAAAGGCGCGCGAUACAGGGUGACAGCCCCGUACACAAAAAUGCACAUACUGUGAGCUCGAUGAGUAGGGCGGGACACGUGGUAUCCUGUCUGAAUAUGGGGGGACCAUCCUCCAAGGCUAAAUACUCCUGACUGACCGAUAGUGAACCAGUACCGUGAGGGAAAGGCGAAAAGAACCCCGGCGAGGGGAGUGAAAAAGAACCUGAAACCGUGUACGUACAAGCAGUGGGAGCCUCUUAAUGGGGUGACUGCGUACCUUUUGUAUAAUGGGUCAGCGACUUAUAUUCUGUAGCAAGGUUAACCGAAUAGGGGAGCCGAAGGGAAACCGAGUCUUAACUGGGCGUUAAGUUGCAGGGUAUAGACCCGAAACCCGGUGAUCUAGCCAUGGGCAGGUUGAAGGUUGGGUAACACUAACUGGAGGACCGAACCGACUAAUGUUGAAAAAUUAGCGGAUGACUUGUGGCUGGGGGUGAAAGGCCAAUCAAACCGGGAGAUAGCUGGUUCUCCCCGAAAGCUAUUUAGGUAGCGCCUCGUGAAUUCAUCUCCGGGGGUAGAGCACUGUUUCGGCAAGGGGGUCAUCCCGACUUACCAACCCGAUGCAAACUGCGAAUACCGGAGAAUGUUAUCACGGGAGACACACGGCGGGUGCUAACGUCCGUCGUGAAGAGGGAAACAACCCAGACCGCCAGCUAAGGUCCCAAAGUCAUGGUUAAGUGGGAAACGAUGUGGGAAGGCCCAGACAGCCAGGAUGUUGGCUUAGAAGCAGCCAUCAUUUAAAGAAAGCGUAAUAGCUCACUGGUCGAGUCGGCCUGCGCGGAAGAUGUAACGGGGCUAAACCAUGCACCGAAGCUGCGGCAGCGACACUAUGUGUUGUUGGGUAGGGGAGCGUUCUGUAAGCCUGUGAAGGUGUACUGUGAGGUAUGCUGGAGGUAUCAGAAGUGCGAAUGCUGACAUAAGUAACGAUAAAGCGGGUGAAAAGCCCGCUCGCCGGAAGACCAAGGGUUCCUGUCCAACGUUAAUCGGGGCAGGGUGAGUCGACCCCUAAGGCGAGGCCGAAAGGCGUAGUCGAUGGGAAACAGGUUAAUAUUCCUGUACUUGGUGUUACUGCGAAGGGGGGACGGAGAAGGCUAUGUUGGCCGGGCGACGGUUGUCCCGGUUUAAGCGUGUAGGCUGGUUUUCCAGGCAAAUCCGGAAAAUCAAGGCUGAGGCGUGAUGACGAGGCACUACGGUGCUGAAGCAACAAAUGCCCUGCUUCCAGGAAAAGCCUCUAAGCAUCAGGUAACAUCAAAUCGUACCCCAAACCGACACAGGUGGUCAGGUAGAGAAUACCAAGGCGCUUGAGAGAACUCGGGUGAAGGAACUAGGCAAAAUGGUGCCGUAACUUCGGGAGAAGGCACGCUGAUAUGUAGGUGAAGUCCCUUGCGGAUGGAGCUGAAAUCAGUCGAAGAUACCAGCUGGCUGCAACUGUUUAUUAAAAACACAGCACUGUGCAAACACGAAAGUGGACGUAUACGGUGUGACGCCUGCCCGGUGCCGGAAGGUUAAUUGAUGGGGUUAGCGGUAACGCGAAGCUCUUGAUCGAAGCCCCGGUAAACGGCGGCCGUAACUAUAACGGUCCUAAGGUAGCGAAAUUCCUUGUCGGGUAAGUUCCGACCUGCACGAAUGGCGUAAUGAUGGCCAGGCUGUCUCCACCCGAGACUCAGUGAAAUUGAACUCGCUGUGAAGAUGCAGUGUACCCGCGGCAAGACGGAAAGACCCCGUGAACCUUUACUAUAGCUUGACACUGAACAUUGAGCCUUGAUGUGUAGGAUAGGUGGGAGGCUUUGAAGUGUGGACGCCAGUCUGCAUGGAGCCGGCCUUGAAAUACCACCCUUUAAUGUUUGAUGUUCUAACGUUGGCCCCUGAUCGGGGUUGCGGACAGUGUCUGGUGGGUAGUUUGACUGGGGCGGUCUCCUCCUAAAGAGUAACGGAGGAGCACGAAGGUUGGCUAAUCCUGGUCGGACAUCAGGAGGUUAGUGCAAUGGCAUAAGCCAGCUUGACUGCGAGCGUGACGGCGCGAGCAGGUGCGAAAGCAGGUCAUAGUGAUCCGGUGGUUCUGAAUGGAAGGGCCAUCGCUCAACGGAUAAAAGGUACUCCGGGGAUAACAGGCUGAUACCGCCCAAGAGUUCAUAUCGACGGCGGUGUUUGGCACCUCGAUGUCGGCUCAUCACAUCCUGGGGCUGAAGUAGGUCCCAAGGGUAUGG